GACGAACGCUGGCGGCGUGCCUAAUACAUGCAAGUCGAACGCAGUGGGGACGGGUGAGUAACACGUGGGUAACCUCCCAUCAGAGGGGAUAACACUUGGAAACAGGUGCUAAACCGAUACUGAUGGAUGGACCCGCGGUGCAUUAGCUAGUUGGGGAGGUAACGGCUCACCAAGGCCACGAUGCAUAGCCGACGUGUGCGGGGGAUCGGCCACACGGGGACUGAGUCACGGCCGAGACUCCUACGUGAGGCAGCAGUAGGGAAUCUUCGGCAAUGGACGAAAGUCUGACCGAGCAACGCCGCGUGAGUGACGAAGGUUUUCGGAUCUUAAAACUCUGUUGUUAGAUAAGCGGUAUCUAACCAGAAAGCCACGGCUAACUACGUGCCAGCAGCCGCGGUAAUAC
rnacentral:rRNA from 1 species